UACGUACUGUGCGAACGUUAUUCGGAAUCACUGGGCUUAAAGGGUGCGUAGGCGGCCAAUUAAGUAGGGUGUGAAAUCCCCCGGCUCAACCGGGGAAUUGCGCUCUAAACUGGUUGGCUUGAGUGAGAUAGGGGUGUGCGGAACUUCCAGUGGAGCGGUGAAAUGUGUUGAUAUUGGAAGGAACGCCGGUAGCGAAAGCGGCACACUGGGUCUCAACUGACGCUGAGGCACGAAAGCCAGGGUAGCGAACGGG
rnacentral:rRNA from 1 species